rnacentral:rRNA from 1 species
GACGAACGCUUGCGGCGUGCCUAAGAAAUGCAAGUCGAGCGAGGUUCAGGCUUCGGCCGAAAACCUAGCGGCGAACGGUCGCGUAACACGUAAGCAACCUGCCCUAAAGUUGGGGAUAGCCCUCCGAAAGGAGGAUUAAUACCGAAUGUGGACACUACUUCGCAUGUGGUGGUGUCUAAAGCAGCAAUGCGCUUUAGGAUGGGCUUGCGGCCUAUCAGCUAGUUGGUGUGGGUAACGGCCUACCAAGGCGACGACGGGUAGCUGGUCUGAGAGGAUGGUCAGCCGGACUGGGACUGAGAUACGGCCCAGACUCCUACGGGAGGCAG